rnacentral:rRNA from 1 species
UACGUAGGGAGCAAGCGUUGUCCGGAAUCAUUGGGCGUAAAGCGCGCGUAGGCGGCCCGGUAAGUCCGCUGUGAAAGUCAACGGCUCAACUGUUGAAAGCCGGUGGAUACUGUCGGGCUAGAGUACGGAAGAGGCAAGUGGAAUUCCUGGUGUAGCGGUGGAAUGCGCAGAUAUCAGGAGGAACACCUAUAGCGAAGGCAGCUUGCUGGGACGUGACUGACGCUAAGGCGCGAAAGCGUGGGGAGCGAACAGG